CAGGUCUUUUUAAUCGCGGGUCCUUCUGUGGUUCACCGAAAAGCAACUUUGUGCAUUUCCUACAGAAAAAAAGUGUGUUUGGAGGAGCAGGUCGCAGGGGGGUCACGCCUGCUGCUGAACAAAAGGGCUCAUUCGCAUCCUGCAAGCGUCCUGCACGGGGCCGUCCUCUGGCCGUCCAAGAUCCUUAGGGAGAUCCUUAUCGGGUGGCCGCUGCAUUCUUAUUGGCACUGGCGGCACUGCAGGAUCAUCACGUAUGUGUGCGCCGUGGUGAAAAAGAGUGUAAAACUCUGCGCUGACCACCAUGGCCAUGGCCCGACGCUGUCCACACGUUUCUUCCAUGCUGUCUCAGCAGAAAGCGUUUUUUGGAUGCACUCCGCAAGAAACAUCUUCUGAGGGAAAGUGCACCAGAGCCGAGGGGAGCAGCCGACGCGGCGGCGGCGGCGCGUCCGCCAAAAAAUGAUGAGCAGCCUCGAUCGUCUGGCUGCUGUGCGCUGCCGCGCGGUGGGUGGUGCGUUUGGGGCGGGAGCCCCGGACGGGGUCAGACUGCUGUCGGCCCAAGUUUUGGCGCAGGGUGGCAGCGGAUGCUUCGGAGAAAGUCUUGGAGUCCGUGAUGUGCAACCUCGACAUUUUCGACGAGGGAAAAAUCAGCUAAGAGAGGCUGAAUGGUGAUUAGCGCCGUCCUCUGUUUGGGGCACACUGUCCCGCCAUGCAGACGUGCGAGCUGGUUGCCUACUCGCUUCGGUCCCUAAGGCGCCUUGCGUG